UUGCUGCUAAGGUUUCCACUAGAGAUGCAAGAAAAAAAAUCCUCACACUUUCUGUCUGUGUCACUGUGGAAGUCAAGAUUGAAUAGGGGAGUACAGGC
rnacentral:snoRNA from 1 species